rnacentral:rRNA from 1 species
GAUCCUGGCUCAGGAUGAACGCUGGCGGCGUGCCUAAUACAUGCAAGUGAAACGGGUAUCUUCGGAUACCAGUCGCGGACGGGUGAGUAAUACAUAGGCAACCUGCCUUUAUGAGGGGGAUAACCGAGGGAAACUUUGGCUAAUACCGCAUGAAGACUCUAAGGCAUCUUAGAGGGAUAAAAGUUGGGAAACAACGCAUGAAGAUGGGCUUAUGGCGCAUUAGCUAGUUGGUGAGAUAGAAGCCCACCAAGGUAAUGAUGCGUAGCCGACCUGAGAGGGUGAACGGCCACAUUGGGACUGAGACACGGCCCAAACUCCUACGGGAGGCAGCAGUAGGGAAUUUUCGGCAAUGGGGGGAACCCUGACCGAGCAACGCCCGCGUGAAGGAAGAAGGUUUUCGGAUUGUAAACUUCUGUUAUAAGGGAAGAACGGAUUGGAUAGGGAAUGAUCUGAUAGUGACGGUACCUUAUUAGAAAGCCACGGCUAACUACGUGCCAGCCGCCGC